GUCGCGCGAGUGCGCGCGACGAGGGCGCCGCUGCGUUGUUGCGCGACGACCAUGCCACAGUCAUCCGGUACUUCCCCACGCAUGUGAGGCGAGGCCGUGGUCGAUUUGUUCGUUUCGUCAGGCCAAAAUCAAUCAUUUCUUGCCAUCGAUCGAUGCUCCCAAUCUUGCUUGCUAGAUCCUCUUUUAUUUACUUUUUAUAUAUUUAUGUAUUGCUAUUAUCGAUUGAUUGAUGCGAAGCCAAUACUUUGUGUUGUGUUUGAUUACCGAAUUAAUUAGCGUUAAACCUGUGCAUCCAACAUGGAUUACCAAUUUUUUCCCCAGUGAUGAUUGGUGGAUGUAGUUGCACUCCUCUCGCCUCCACAUGUUUUUGUAUGAUAUAUUGCAAUGCAGUUGAAUUAUAUAAGGAACUCCUGUUAUCUGUUUCGCUACCAUGCUUGCUA
rnacentral:lncRNA from 1 species